CAGGGGUCCGGCCAACGGUCCCUGGCGCUUCGGGAGGCCCCCAAGGAGCUCCAAGCUCCUAGAAGAAAUCUGCCCCCGAGCGAGGUGCGUAUAGGAUUUCUAAUCUUUCCUUUGAUUUUUUUUGUUUUUCUCUUUCUUCUGACUUGUGUUAUUUUUUCAGCUGGAAGCAAAAGGCGCCAUCAGUGGCGCUGCCCCCCUGAAGGCCGUGAAGAGGGGGGCGCAGUCGACCCCUGGGUCUGCGAGGCCCAAGUCGGCGCCCCCCCUGAGUCGCGAAGAGGGGGAGCCCCGUCGGGACAGAGAGGGGCAGGAGAUGGAGAUGCCGAGGCCCCAAGGGCCGGAGGAGACGGUCCUUGCCCCCGGUGCUAUGC
rnacentral:lncRNA from 1 species